rnacentral:rRNA from 1 species
AGCAGGGAAGAAGCGAGAGUGACGGUACCUGCAGAAGAAGCGCCGGCUAACUACGUGCCAGCAGCCGCGGUAAUACGUAGGGCGCAAGCGUUGUCCGGAAUUAUUGGGCGUAAAGAGCUCGUAGGCGGUCUGUCGCGUCUGGUGUGAAAUCCCAUGGCUCAACUGUGGGCUUGCAUCGGGUACGGGCAGACUAGAGUGCUGUAGGGGAGACUGGAAUUCCUGGUGUAGCGGUGGAAUGCGCAGAUAUCAGGAGGAACACCGAUGGCGAAGGCAGGUCUCUGGGCAGUUACUGACGCUGAGGAGCGAAAGCAUGGGGAGCGAACAGGAUUAGAUACCCUGGUAGUCCAUGCCGUAAACGUUGGGCACUAGGUGUGGGGCCAGUUCCACUGGUUCUGUGCCGCAGCUAACGCAUUAAGUGCCCCGCCUGGGGAGUACGGCCGCAAGGCUAAAACUCAAAGGAAUUGACGGGGGCCCGCACAAGCGGCGGAGCAUGCGGAUUAAUUCGAUGCAACGCGAAGAACCUUACCAAGGCUUGACAUGUACGAGAAAGCCCCAGAGAUGGGGUUCUCUUUGGACACUCGUACACAGGUGGUGCAUGGUUGUCGUCAGCUCGUGUCGUGAGAUGUUGGGUUAAGUCCCGCAACGAGCGCAACCCUUAUCCUAUGUUGCCAGCGGGUUAUGCCGGGGACUCAUGGGAGACUGCCGGGGUCAACUCGGAGGAAGGUGGGGAUGACGUCAAAUCAUCAUGCCCCUUAUGUCUUGGGCUUCACGCAUGCUACAAUGGCCGGUACAGAGGGCUGCGAUACCGUGAGGUGGAGCGAAUCCCAAAAAGCCGGUCUCAGUUCGGAUCGGGGUCUGCAACUCGACCCCGUGAAGUCGGAGUCGCUAGUAAUCGCAGAUCAGCAACGCUGCGGUGAAUACGUUCCCGGGCCUUGUACACACCGCCCGUCAAGUCACGAAAGUUGGUAACACCCGAAGCUCACGGCCCAACCCCUCGGGGAGGGAGUGUCGAAGUGAAUAG